GACGAACGCUGGCGGCGUGCUUAACACAUGCAAGUCGAACGGAAAGGCCUGCUUUCCCUUGUGGAUUGCGGGUACUCGAGUGGCGAACGGGUGAGUAACACGUGAGUGAUCUGCCCCCAACUUGGGUAUAAGCCUGGGAAGCUGGGUCUAAUUCCCGAUAGGACUGCAGGGUGGUGCCUGUGGUGGAACACGAUUUUCUAGUGGUUGGGGAUGAGCUCGCGGCCUAUCAGCUUGGUGGUGGGGUAAUGGCCUACCAAGGCGGCGACGGGUAGCCGGCCUGAGAGGGUGGACGGCGACAUUGGGACUGAGAUACGGCCCAGACUCCUACGGGAGGCAGCAGUGGGGAAUAUAGCACAAUGGGCGGGAGCCUGAUGCAGCGACGCCGCGUGGGGGAUGACGGCCUUCGGGUUGUAAACUCCUUUCGACCGCGAGGAAGCCACCUGGUUGGAAGGGUGGUGACGGUAGUGGUAGAAGAAGCACCGGCUAACUACGUG
rnacentral:rRNA from 1 species